rnacentral:rRNA from 1 species
GCGCCUGUUUAUCAAAAACAUCGCCUCUUGCACAAAAUAAGAGGUCCAGCCUGCCCAGUGAAUAUUCAACGGCCGCGGUAUACUAACCGUGCGAAGGUAGCAUAAUCACUUGUUUUUUAAAUGAAGACUAGUAUGAACGGCAUCACGAAAAUUAAGCUGUCUCUUUUAUCUAAUCAGUGAAACUAAUCUCCCCGUGAAGAAGCGGGGAUAAUCUAUAAGACGAGAAGACCCUGUGGAGCUUUAAACCUAUAGCACAAGCCCGUCCCUUCCACCCUCCAGAGCACCUUACAGGCAUAUAUGACUAAAAGUUUUCAAUUGGGGCGAUUUUGGAGAAUAACCCACCCUCCAAGCUGAAUCCUAACACUAAACAUAAACCUACAACUUAACGUAUCAAUAAAUUGACACUCAUUGACCCAGUAACCUGAUCAACGAACCAAGUUACCCCAGGGAUAACAGCGCAAUCUUCUUUGAGAGUUCAUAUCGACAAGCAGGUUUACGACCUCGAUGUUGGAUCAGGGUCCCUGGGAUUGCAGCCGCCCCUAACGGUU